rnacentral:rRNA from 1 species
GACGAACGCUGGCGGCGUGCUUAACACAUGCAAGUCGAACGCUGAAGCUCAGCUUUUGUUGGGUGGAUGAGUGGCGAACGGGUGAGUAACACGUGAGUAACCUGCCCCCUUCUUUGGGAUAACGCCCGGAAACGGGUGCUAAUACUGGAUAUUCACUGGUCUUCGCAUGGGGGUUGGUGGAAAGGGUUUUUCUGGUGGGGGAUGGGCUCGCGGCCUAUCAGCUUGUUGGUGGGGUGAUGGCCUACCAAGGCUUUGACGGGUAGCCGGCCUGAGAGGGUGACCGGUCACAUUGGGACUGAGAUACGGCCCAGACUCCUACGGGAGGCAGCAGUGGGGAAUAUUGCACAAUGGGCGCAAGCCUGAUGCAGCGACGCCGCGUGAGGGAUGGAGGCCUUCGGGUUGUGAACCUCUUUCGCUCAUGGUCAAGCCGCAACAAUGGUUGUGGUGAGGGUAGUGGGUAAAGAAGCGCCGGCUAACUACGUGCCAGCAGCCGCGGUAAUACGUAGGGCGCGAGCGUUGUCCGGAAUUAUUGGGCGUAAAGGGCUUGUAGGCGGUUGGUCGCGUCUGCCGUGAAAUCCUCUGGCUUAACUGGGGGCGUGCGGUGGGUACGGGCUGACUUGAGUGCGGUAGGGGAGACUGGAACUCCUAGUGUAGCGGUGGAAUGCGCAGAUAUCAGGAAGAACACCGGUGGCGAAGGCGGGUCUCUGGGCCGUUACUGACGCUGAGGAGCGAAAGCGUGGGAGCGAACAGG